AUUGAACGCUGGCGGCAUGCCUUACACAUGCAAGUCGAACGGUAACAGGCCGCAAGGUGCUGACGAGUGGCGAACGGGUGAGUAAUGCAUCGGAACGUGCCCAGUCGUGGGGGAUAACUGCUCGAAAGAGCAGCUAAUACCGCAUACGACCUGAGGGUGAAAGCGGGGGACCGUAAGGCCUCGCGCGAUUGGAGCGGCCGAUGUCAGAUUAGCUAGUUGGUGGGGUAAAGGCCUACCAAGGCAACGAUCUGUAGUUGGGCUGAGAGGACGACCAGCCACACUGGGACUGAGACACGGCCCAGACUCCUACGGGAGGCAGCAGUGGGGGAUUUUGGACAAUGGGCGCAAGCCGGAUCCAGCAAUGCCGCGUGCAGGAAGAAGGCCUUCGGGUUGUAAACUGCUUUUGUCAGGGAAGAAAUCUUCUGGGCUAAUACCACGGGAGGAUGACGGUACCUGAAGAAUAAGCACCGGCUAACUACGUGCCAGCAGCCGCCGUAACAC
rnacentral:rRNA from 1 species